rnacentral:lncRNA from 1 species
GUUGAUUUUUAAUAUUGGUGACUACUGCGGCAAGGAAAAACGUACGAAGUCCCAUCCAAUAAACAGAGAAGAUAAUAUCGCGAUCCAUUGAGAAAAGAAGGCCACGAUAAAGAAGAAUGGGUCAGUAUUCAAAAGCUGCUGAAAAAAUAUGGAAAAAGAACGAGUUCUUGGCAUACAAUGCUGACACGAGAAAUAUUCUAUUAAUUACAAAAAAAGGAUGCUAAAUGACAGCUGGGCCUUCAGUUUACAAAUUAUAAAUUAUU